rnacentral:rRNA from 1 species
GACGAACGCUGGCGGCGUGCUUAACACAUGCAAGUCAAGCGCUGAUGCCCGUUUUGGGGGUGGAUGAGCGGCGAACGGGUGAGUAACACGUGGGUGACCUGCCCUCAGCUCUGGGAUAAGCCGUGGGAAACUGGGUCUAAUACCGGAUAUGACCUUGCCUCGCAUGGGGUGGGUGGAAGUUCUUGGGCCGUUUUGGUCUGGGUUCGGUUGGGGAUCGGGCCCGCGGCCUAUCAGUC